rnacentral:lncRNA from 1 species
ACUUCUGGUUCUUCACGCUUACGUCCAAGACAGGAACUGGAAAUAUUUGUCAAUACCACUGAGAGAGUCGGACGCUAUCGAAAGCUCGGACAUGAACAACUUACAUGAGCUCGCCAACGUUUCUCGGAGCUCCAAGUUCGCGGCCAUGAGGUGAGUCUCGGACGCAUCCCUUGUUGUAAGGCUAUGGCAAAUCACUUCUUGUUGUAAGUAGGACCUGGAGAGGCAUUAUGAUGAGUCUUAUGGCAGAUAUAUCGAAGGCUCCGAGUCGUCAGCUGCGAAGGCAGCGGUCUUGCAUUUCACUGAUGGCAGCGCGGAUGUUUUCGGUAAGAGAGUUGGUUGCCACUCGGCCUCAUAAUUUUCGUUUGUUCUUUUCGAGCCGAGCAGAAGACG